UGGGGAAUAUUGGACAAUGGGCGCAAGCCUGAUCCAGCCAUGCCGCGUGAGUGAUGAAGGCCCUAGGGUUGUAAAGCUAUUUCACCGGUGAAGAUAAUGACGGUAACCGGAGAAGAAGCCCCGGCUAACUUCGUGCCAGCAGCCGCGGUAAUACGAAGGGGGCUAGCGUUGUUCGGAUUUACUGGGCGUAAAGCGCACGUAGGCGGACUUUUAAGUCAGGGGUGAAAUCCCGGGGCUCAACCCCGGAACUGCCUUUGAUACUGGAAGUCUUGAGUAUGGUAGAGGUGAGUGGAAUUCCGAGUGUAGAGGUGAAAUUCGUAGAUAUUCGGAGGAACACCAGUGGCGAAGGCGGCUCACUGGACCAUUACUGACGCUGAGGUGCGAAAGCGUGGGGAGCAAACAGG
rnacentral:rRNA from 1 species